rnacentral:rRNA from 1 species
CAAAACAUGUCUUUAUGUUAGGUAUAUAAAGUCUAGCCUGCCCACUGAUAUUUAAAGGGCCGCGGUAAUUUGACCGUGCUAAGGUAGCAUAAUCAUUAGUCUCUUAAUUGGAGGCUGGAAUGAAUGGUUGGACGAAGAAUGGACUGUCUUUAUAUUAGAAUUUGAAUUUAACUUUUAAGUGAAAAGGCUUAAAUUUAUUAAGGGGACGAUAAGACCCUAUAAAACUUUACAUCUAGGGGAUUAGGAUUUUUAAUUGUUUGUAAAAUAUUAGUUUAGAUUUAUGGUGUUUUGUUGGGGCGAUAGAGAUAUAAUAAUAGAUUAACUGUUUUUUAGUUUAUAACUUUGUUAUUGGGUUUAUAGGUUUUUGGUCCAUUUUUAUUGAUUAUAAGAUUAAGUUACUUUAGGGAUAACAGCGUUAUUAUUUUUGAGAGUUCUUAUCGACAAAAUUUAGUUGCGACCUCGAUGUUGAAUUAAGAUUUCCUUUCAGGCGCAGCAGUCUAAGGGGUAGGUCUGUUCGACCUUUAAAAUCUUACAUGAUUUGAGUUCAAACCGGUGUGAGCCAGGUGGGGUUUUCUAUCUAA